rnacentral:rRNA from 1 species
AGAGUUUGAUCAUGGCUCAGAACGAACGCUGGCGGCAUGCCUAACACAUGCAAGUCGAACGCCUAUAGCGAUAUAGGAGUGGCGCACGGGUGAGUAACGCGUGGGAACCUGCCCCGAGGUGGGGGAUAACCGAUGGAAACGUCGGCUAAUACCGCAUACGACCUGAGGGUGAAAGAUUUAUCGCCUUGGGAGGGGCCCGCGUCGGAUUAGCUAGUUGGUGGGGUAACGGCCUACCAAGGCGAUGAUCCGUAGCUGGUCUGAGAGGAUGAUCAGCCACACUGGGACUGAGACACGGCCCAGACUCCUACGGGAGGCAGCAGUGGGGAAUAUUGGACAAUGGGCGCAAGCCUGAUCCAGCAAUGCCGCGUGAGGGAUGAAGGCCUUAGGGUUGUAAAGCUCUUUCGGCGGGGACGAUGAUGACGGUACCCGCAGAAGAAGCCCCGGCUAACUUCGUGCCAGCAGCCGCGGUAAUACGAAGGGGGCAAGCGUUGUUCGGAAUUACUGGGCGUAAAGGGCGCGCAGGCGGCUCGUUAAGUCAGAUGUGAAAGCCCCGGGCUCAACCUGGGAAUAGCAUUUGGGACUGAUGGGCUAGAGAUCGGGAGAGGAGAGUGGAAUUCCCAGUGUAGAGGUGAAAUUCGUAGAUAUUGGGAAGAACACCGGUGGCGAAGGCGGCUCUCUGGACCGAUACUGACGCUGAGGCGCGAAAGCGUGGGGAGCAAACAGGAUUAGAUACCCUAGUAGUCC